rnacentral:rRNA from 1 species
CAGCCGCCGCGGUAACACGUAGGGGGCGAGCGUUGUCCGGAAUUACUGGGCGUAAAGGGUGCGUAGGCGGCCUUAUAAGUCAUGUGUGAAAAACCCGGGCUCAACCCGGGUAUUGCAAGUGAAACUAUAGGGCUUGAGUGCAGGAGAGGGAAGUGGAAUUCCUAGUGUAGCGGUGAAAUGCGUAGAGAUUAGGAGGAACACCAGUGGCGAAGGCGGCUUCCUGGACUGCAACUGACGCUGAGGCACGAAAGCGUGGGGAGCAAACAGGAUUAGAUACCCUGGUAGUCCACGCCGUAAACGCUGGAUACUAGGUGUAGGUACCGAUGAGGUAUCUGUGCCGUAGUUAACGCAAUAAGUAUCCCGCCUGGGGAGUACGGCCGCAAGGCUGAAACUCAAAGGAAUUGACGGGGGCCCGCACAAGCAGCGGAGCAUGUGGUUUAAUUCGAAGCAACGCGAAGAACCUUACCAGGGCUUGACAUCCCUCUGGAUGGUAUAGAGAUAUGCCAGGCCGGUGUUGUUAAGAUACCGGACAGAGGAGACAGGAGGUGCAUGGCC